GAUCAUGGCUCAGGAUGAACGCUAGCUACAGGCUUAACACAUGCAAGUCGGAGGGGCAGCAUGGUCUUAGCUUGCUAAGACUGAUGGCGACCGGCGCACGGGUGAGUAACACGUAUCCAACCUGCCGUCUACUCUUGGACAGCCUUCUGAAAGGAAGAUUAAUACAAGAUGGCAUCAUUGAGUCCGCAUGUUCACAUGAUUAAAGGUAUUCCGGUAGACGAUGGGGG
rnacentral:rRNA from 1 species